CGAAACGAUAGAGGCGCGGGAGCUGAGGUAAGCUGCGUAUGCUAAGGGCGGGAGACCCGAUGACGCAGGCGAAUGUGACUUCCGCCGAAAGCACGGCUGCCCAUCCCGGCGCCAUGCUUGGGCGCAGCGGCCAGCGCGCUGCGACUGUCAUCUUGUUUAUUGGAUGAAGAGCUAUCGAUGCG
rfam:Clostridium sp. CAG:226 genomic scaffold, scf416